AAACAUCAGAGAGCUCCUGGGGGAAAUUCCUUCUAAAUGCUCAAUCAGUUGGGCAGCUUCACUUAAAGCUUGAAUCUGCAUAGAUGCUAAAGCCCACCUCAACCAUGGAGGAGUGAGUUGGUCUCCUUGUUCCUAUGGCAGCUGCGGACCUGCAUGCUCAGGUGAUCCUCCAGAGGCACCAAUGCAGAGCCUGAAGGAAAGCUCCCAUCUCCAAUCCAUGACUGUCUCCAGCUGAGCAGGACCUUGUUCUUCUGGCACAUUCGCUCAUCUGUGGCCACACUACCAAAGAUUUCCUGGGAGCAGCACCCCAGGGCCGAUCCUGUGGCUGACACGGUGCCACCCCUUGCUGUCACUGUGCCAUGGUGACAUGCUCCCCUGUGUCACUUCUCAGCGAUGCCCCAUGGGAACAGCUGAGCACCUGUCCUGCCGUGGGCUUAGAGAGAAGCACAGCUCCCCAGGAUGGGUCAGGACCGUGCCUUUAAGAUUUAUGUGGAGCUACCCUACAAGCAUGAACUGCAGUCUGUCAUACAGCCUGCUGCAUCCAAUAAAUAAACCUCGAGCUUCUCUCCUCUGUUAUGCGUAACUGUACUGUUUGUACUAUCAGAAAGACUGACAUGCCUAAAUAAUUGAAUGAUAUUGAUCUUAAAAUUGAGUUACCAGAACAAGAGUGUUUCCUGUAUAUUUUCACAGUGAGGUCACUACAUUCCUAUCUAUAGUCAUCAUGUGAAACCAUUGACAGGUUCAAUAGUGGCAGCUCGGCAGGUUUUAAAAGUCAAUAAAGGAAACGAGUGUGUUUGUUUUCAAACAUCAAAUACGUUUUAAUUGUUUGCAUUUAAAGCUACAAACCCUUAAUCAAACUGUGUCCUUUCCAUCUCAGAGCAAAGCCUGGUGCAGUAGCACAGUCUGUGUUACUUAAAUCAUGCUUAAGGACUUGCAUUAACCAUGAAAACUGUAGCGCAUCUGAUUUAAAACGCCAUUUCUCCCUUGUUCAGUUAUGUUGCCAAGUUUAUGAGGACAGGAUUUUUGCUUUGUCUUCAGGAGAUGAGCAAUGCAGCUUUUGCAGGUGAAUUUGGGCUGUAUUCCACUUGGUGUAUGUGCUGCUAAAGAAAGGUCAGAUCACGUGAGUUAUAACUUUGGGGCUUUCCAAGUACCAUUUUACAGUGACAGAUAAAAGUUAGUUACAUUUGACAGCCAGGUAGCAGGGUAACAGCAGCUGCUGCUUGAAACAUGGGACCUUGCAUGAGUUCCCUAAUGUUGGGAUGCCGGAGCUGUGAAAUCCUCUCCGGUCUCACAGUUCUGUAUCUUUAAUCGCAGUUUUCAUUAGGGCCCUAUCCAAGCAAGUGUCCGUGUGCGCUGAGAUCUCUGAUAGGUACUUGCAUAAGAUUUUCUUUUAGGUAGAAAUGCUCAGACAUAGUGCAUGCAGUGACCCUUGUGAUUUUGGUGCCAGGGUUUUCUGAGAAGCUCUGGGCAUGGAGGGGCUGUAGGGAGGCUCCAGGAGGUGGCAGGCAGACAUGCAGGCUGCACCUGUUAGUAACGAGCAGAGGUUGCAGCUGGUUUCACACAACCAGAGGGAGCUGCAUCCUUGUCCCUUCUGAGGUGGCUCUGCAGGUGGAUAGGAAUGGAAGAGCUCACACUCACUUAGAUAAACUCUCUUGGAGCUGCUCGCUGUUUCUUCAGUUCCAUCGCUCUCUGGAAAGAGAAGUGCCUGUGGUCAGGAUUUCUGUUUUUGCUGAUGUCCGCGUUUGUUGAAUGGACGAUUCAGUUUCCAAGUGAACUUUGUUGUUGAGUUGAUUUUAUUUUCUUUAUCGUUUAUUUCUUCAAGAGGAAAUAUCUGCUUUUAGGGUAAAACAUUAAGUUCCACUCUGGAAAUCUUCAGAUCAAAAUGACAAAAAUUCUUGGGGUUAUGCCAAACACGUCUCACCUUCAGUUUUGCUUAGGACACUGGAAGUUUUGCUGAAUGGCGGUUUCAGCACAGUUGAGAUUUAUUUUACUUUUUUGUCAAGAGCUAAAACUGUUUUUCUUUCUUUUUAGU